GAACUUUGUUAAGCUAUUUAGAUAUACACAAUUUACAGCCAAACCAUAAGUUACUUUUAUUUCAUUCAGCAUAUCGACACCAACGUUGCAGUUUAACCAGACAAAUGCGAAAUUCGACGAGCCCGACUGGUCAAAACUUUUCACACGCAGUGGUGCAUUUAGCUUGGUUUUGGUGAAUUUUAGGAGAAUAAUUAAUGACUUUCAUUCUUAAAAUUUUAACACGUACGUAAUGCAACAGUCUCUUAGACAUGGCACAAUAUCGACAACCAUGGUAAUUUGGUUUAUACCGAGGCAACAAUUAAUAGUGGGCGUUGACAGACAAACUAUACUCGUGCAACUCGGGCACACGUCAUAGACCAUAGUACCUACGGUGAUCGCCUGUGUAAUGUAAUCUUUGGAAACGUCCGAAAAGAAGUAAUGAUUGUAAUAAAUUGUGAUUUAUGACUGCAUUGUAAUUACUGUAGAAUACGUAACUUGUCAAAAUACAAAUGACAAAUUAAUGUCGAUGCCAAA